UGUCGGAAAAAAAUUGUCUCCACCGAUUCAUUUUCUCUUUUAUUUUUUGUUUUUUCCUGGUGAAUUUUUUUUUACGGACACCUGUUCCACCACGAUUCUUCCGUUAACUCAUUGUCAACUUGUGUCAGCUGGACACUAGGUGACGUUUGUUUGAGUUUGACUCAGUUUGAAUCCACUCAUAUUCACCCAAAUUUUGUUCAAUAACUUUCUUAAUUGCUUGAUGAUUAGUCGAGUGCUUCUCUGGGUUAUUUUGUUCUCUAUGUUUUUAUCUUUGUAUUUUGUUCACGGGAUAGAAGAUGGGCUAGAAUUGGGUAUGAUUUUGCUUGGAGUUUGAUUUAUGUGUUGGAUGUAAUUUUUUUUUUUUUUUGAAUUCAAAAUGAUAUGAAACCUUACCAGACCCAAAUACUCGUAUCCCUGGACGGAGCACCUGUCCGUGUCUUUCCCGUGCCAACGCUACUUGCGGGCAGAUAGGUAUCAAAGACAGACCGAGCGCUGUGGUUCGAUUGUCCCUGCAAUUCGUGAACCCGCCCGACAGUCCCAAGCCACACGACCAGUCUUGGGAAGCGUUUCAGAAUCAGAUAUUCCAUGUUGUAUUUUAUUAUCAUUGAGGCAUCAACUGAAGGGCCAUUUACAACAAGGCAGAUUAUCUGGAAGGCUGUUUGCAGCUCUUUGUUGGCAUACAGAGGCUGUGAAUACAAUCCAAUGGUCACCAACUCAUGGGACUUUGUGUGCUUUCUUGUGGCUUUGAUAGCUCAUUGAGGUUAAUUGAUGUUGAAAAGGGAAUAGAGACACAGAACUUUAAGAAACAAGUUAUUACAGUUACAAAAUUCCAUCCUGACAACCCCAGCCUCUUUCCUUCUAGGGGAUCGAGGGGCUUUCUCAGAUUGUGGGAUAUUAGGAGGGGCAAGGUGGUACAUGAAUACAUUUUAGGUCUGGGUCCAAUUCUUGAUGUUGAAUUUACAGUCAAUGGGAGGUAAUUUAUCUCUUCCAUUGAUGUAUCAGGAGUAAAUAUGAGUGAGAAUUCUGUUAUUGUUUGGGAUAUCUCGCAAGAGGUUCCAUUGUCUAAUCAGACAGUAAAGUCACUGCUGGGAAGCACCUUGUCACGACCUCAAAAUCAUUGCUUCUAUGAACCCUGAUACAUGCACCAACCGGUUCUGUAGGUUUAUGUGAAAGCCCAUUCAUGUCCCUGUAUUAGGUGCCACCUGUUUGAUCCAUAUUUCAUCGCACUGUCAAACGAAAACUAUAUAGCAAUUUUUUCUCAAGUCCUUUCAGGUCCACGGGGAAUCUGGGUUCCCAAUCAAGUGCAAUUUCAACUUGGCUGGGGAGAAGCUUGUGUCAGGCUUCUCAGAUGGUUCUAUUUUUACAUAUACAAUGGUAGUUCGACAAAGCUUGAUAGAAAAAUCAAGGCAUAUGAGCAGGCUUGUUUAGGCAAUGCUUUCCAUCCCGUGUUGCCUUACAUAAUCGUGUCGUGCAGUUGGCAUGGAGAUAUUUCCAGUGUUUGAAUGAGACAGCUUAACCAACUUUUAUUGCAACAAAUUUUGUUCUUGGACCACCUGGUAACUUCCUUUGGCAACUAUGUGAAUGUAACACUUGCAACUUCACUGUAAUACAUUUGAAGCUCUGUAAUGCUUCUAUCCUUCAGUGUUUGUAAUGUAAACAUGCUCAUCUGCAACAUUAUUUUUCCUUCUCAAAUGCAAAUGAAACUAAGCUCUAUUUUUUCCUUC